UACAGAGGUCUCAAGCGUUGUUCGGAUUCAUUGGGCGUAAAGCGCGCGUAGGCGGGUUGGCAAGUCUGCUGUGAAAGCCCGGGGCUUAACUCCGGAGGGUCGGUGGAUACUGCCAGUCUUGAAGGUGCUAGGGAGAGAUGGAAUUACCGGUGUAGCGGUGAAAUGCGUAGAUAUCGGUAGGAACACCGGUGGCGAAGGCGGCCUGCUGGGCAGUUUAGCUGACACUGAGGCGCGACAGCGUGGGGAGCAAACAGG
rnacentral:rRNA from 1 species